GUGGGGAAUAUUGGACAAUGGGCGAAAGCCUGAUCCAGCCAUGCCGCGUGUGUGAAGAAGGUCUUCGGAUUGUAAAGCACUUUAAGUUGGGAGGAAGGGCAGUAAGCUAAUACCUUGCUGUUUUGACGUUACCGACAGAAUAAGCACCGGCUAACUCUGUGACAG
rnacentral:rRNA from 1 species